ACUUUAAUAGCUAUUAGGUGAUAGUAUUACAAUACUUACUAUCAUAAUAUUAAUUUUUAUUUAAGAAGAUAUUAGUUGUGAUGAUAGUAAAAUUGUAAAUAUGAAAAGUAUAAUAUUAACAACGAAGAUGAGUAACAGAUACUUCCUACGUAAAACUACGUUUUGUUUAUAAACAUGCCUCCGUUGAUCAGUCAUAAUUUAAUACCACUACGUUGAGUUUCAAUAAAUUCUACCUGUAAUAUAAAAUGCUUUUCAGACAUCCUGUCCUC